rnacentral:rRNA from 1 species
AAUGAACGUUGGCGGCGUGGAUUAGGCAUGCAAGUCGAGCGAGAAUUCCCCGCAAGGGGAAGGACAGCGGCGAAAGGGAGAGAACAGCGUAGUUACCUACCCUCAGGACUGGGAUAGCUCCGGGAAACCGGUGGUAAUACCAGAUAACGUCUUUGGACCAAAGGUGUGAUUCCGCCUGAGGAGGGGACUGCGUCCUAUUAGCUAGUUGGCGAGGUAACGGCUCACCAAGGCAAUGAUGGGUACGGGGUGUGAGAGCAUGCCCCCGCUCACUGGGACUGAGACACUGCCCAGACACCUACGGGUGGCUGCAGUCGAGGAUCUUCGGCAAUGGGCGCAAGCCUGACCGAGCGACGCCGCGUGCGGGAUGAAGGCCUUCGGGUUGUAAACCGCCGUCGGAGUGGAGGAAAUUCCAGGGGGUUCUCCCCUUGGAUUGACUAAUACUCAGAGGAAGGACGGGCUAAGUUCGUGCCAGCAGCCGCGGUAA